rnacentral:rRNA from 1 species
CGGCCGCGUCGACAACGUUUGUGGUUCCGGGGUGUACUCGAGAAAGGUGAAGGGAUAUGGUUCUCUUGGUGCACACCCAUGGUUCGGUUGGGGACUCAUGGGAGACUGCCGGGGGUCAACUCGGAGGAAGGUGGGGACGACGUCAAAUCAUCAUGCCCCUUAUGUCUUGGGCUUCACGCAUGCUACAAUGGCCGGCACAAUGGGUUGCGAGACUGUGAGGUUGAGCUAAUCCCAUAAAACCGGUCUCAGUUCGGAUUGGGGUCUGCAACUCGACCCCAUGAAGUCGGAGUCGCUAGUAAUCGCAGAUCAGCAACGCUGCGGUGAAUACGUUCCCGGGCCUUGUACACACCGCCCGUCAAGUCACGAAAGUUGGUAACACCCGAAGCCGGUGGCCCAACCACCUUGUGUGGGGGGAGCCGUCGAAGGUGGGACCGGUGAUUGGUCGACGCGGCCG